GAUGAAGAACGUAGCGAAAUGCGAUAAGUAAUGUGAAUUGCAGAAUUCAGUGAAUCAUCGAAUCUUUGAACGCACAUUGCGCCCUCUGGUAUUCCGGGGGGCAUGCCUGUUCGAGCGUCAUUAUAACCACUCAAGCUCUCGCUUGGUAUUGGAGUUCGCGAUCUCGCGGCUCCUAAAAUCAGUGGCGGUGCCUGUCGGCUCCACGCGUAGUAAUACUCCUCGCGAUUGAGUCCGGUAGGUUUACUUGCCAGCAACCCCCAAUUUUUACAGGUUGACCUCGGAUCAGGUAGGGAUACCCGCUGAACUUAAGCAUAUCAAUAAGCGGAGGA
rnacentral:misc_RNA from 1 species